GACGUAGGGCGCAAGCGUUGUCCGGAUUUAUUGGGCGUAAAGAGCUCGUAGGCGGCCUGUCGCGUCGACCGUGAAAACCCGCAGCUCAACUGCGGGCUUGCGGUCGAUACGGGCAGGCUGGAGUUCGGUAGGGGAGACUGGAAUUCCUGGUGUAGCGGUGAAAUGCGCAGAUAUCAGGAAGAACACCUAUGGCGAAGGCAGCUCUCUGGGACGGUACUGACGCUGAGACGCGAAAGCGUGGGGAGCGAACAGG
rnacentral:rRNA from 1 species